rnacentral:tRNA from 1 species
GCCUGGGUGGCUCAGUCGGUUAAGCAUCUGACUUCAGCUCAGGUCAUGAUCUCACAGUUUGUGGGUUCAAGCCCCAUGUAGGGCU